GGAGGAAGCUGACAGCCAGAGCCACCCAUUGAUUAGACUACAAUAAUUGAAAGGAUAAAGUUAUCUUCUCACCACCAGCUAUCCCCGGCUCACUCUGGGACAAUCUGGGAAGGCAGAGAGUAAAGACACUAAACGGCACCAAAGCCAGCAAGCCUCUGGGUAGGAAGAAAGAGCACCCAGGGGUCACACCCUGCCUAAUCAAGAGGUGAAGAUUAUGCAGCAGACAGAA